rnacentral:lncRNA from 1 species
CCGGACGAUGUCUACCUGUAAGUGAAGUCGUGGGUGGAGUCUGGCUCCCGUAGGAGUCCGGGCGGAGUCUAGAAGAUGGCCGAUCAUCAUAGAAAUUUGGGUGGAGUCCGUCCGUCACGAAGAAUCCGGUUGACGCUGGUGGGGGCUUAUCCACCAGUAAAACUUGGGAGUGUUGUGGAGGCUCGGCCACCUGGGAGGUUUGAAGAGACGUUGUUGGA